CUGGCGGCGUGCCUAACACAUGCAAGUCGAACGCUCUUUGAGGGCAACCUCAAAGGGAGUGGCGGACGGGUGAGUAACACGUGGGUUAUCUGCCUUGAGGUGAGGAAUACCGGCGAGAAAUCGCCGACAAGACCGCAUAGCUUCGGGAAACCGAAGAAAGUCCCGGAGACGGGACGCCCCAAGAUGAGCCUGCGUCCGAUUACGCUCGUUGGUAGGGUAAAGGCCUACCAAUGCGACGAUCGGUAGCUGGUCUGAGAGGACGAUCAGCCACACUGGGAUUGAGAACGGCCCAGACUCCUACGGGGGGCAGCAGUGAGGAAUUUUCGUCAAUGGGGGCAACCCUGAACGAGCAACGCCGCGUGCAGGAAGAAGGUUUUCGGAUCGUAAACUGCUUUUCUUGGGGAAGAGAACGGACGGUACCCGAGGAAGAAGCCCCGGCUAACUACGUGCCAGCAGCCGCGGUAAUACGUAGGGGGCAAGCGUUGUCCGGAUUUAUUGGGCGUAAAGCGCACGCAGGCGGUCUUGUACGUUUCCAGUGACAGGUGAUGGCUCAACUGCCACAGGCCUGGGAAAACGGCAAGACUUGAGGACGAGAGAGGGAUGCGGAAUUCCAGGUGGAGCGGUGAAAUGCGUAGAGAUCUGGAAGAACACCAAUGGCGAAGGCAGCAUCCUGGAUCGUAUCUGACGCUCUUGUGCGAAAGCCAGGGGAGCGAACGGGAUUAGAUACCCCGGUAGUCCUGGCUGUAAACGAUGACCACUAGACGUAGGAGGUAUCGACCCCUUCUGUGUCGCAGCUAACGCACUAAGUGGUCCGCCUGGGGAGUACGGUCGCAAGAUUAAAACUCAAAGGAAUUGACGGGGACCCGCACAAGCAGCGGAGCGUGUGGUUUAAUUCGAUGCAACGCGAAGAACCUUACCAAGGCUUGACAUGGACUCGCAGCAGCCGUAACGGGCUGUUCCGGAAACGGACGGGUUCACAGGUGCUGCAUGGCUGUCGUCAGCUCGUGUCGUGAGAUGUUGGGUUAAGUCCCGCAACGAGCGCAACCCCUAUUGUUAGUUGAAUACCUCUAGCGAGACUGCCACGCUAAACGUGGAGGAAGGUGGGGAUGACGUCAAGUCAGCACGGCCCUUACGCCUUGGGCGACACACACGCUACAAUGGUCAGGACAAAGAGUUGCCAACCCGCGAGGGGGAGCUAAUCUCAUCAAACCUGAUCCCAGUUCAGAUUGCAGGCUGCAACCCGCCUGCAUGAAGUCGGAGUUGCUAGUAACCGUAGGUCAGCACACUACGGUGAUACUAUUACCCGGUCGUUGUACACACU
rnacentral:rRNA from 1 species